rnacentral:rRNA from 1 species
UACGGGGGGGAGCAAGCGUUGUUCGGAUUUACUGGGCGUAAAGGGCGCGUAGGCGGCCACCGCAAGUCGAUUGUGAAAUCUCCGGGCUUAACCCGGAAAGGUCAACCGAUACUGCGGGGCUAGAGUGCAGAAGGGGCAACUGGAAUUCUCGGUGUAGCGGUGAAAUGCGUAGAUAUCGAGAGGAACACCUGCGGCGAAGGCGGGUUGCUGGGCUGACACUGACGCUGAUGUGCGAAAGCUAGGGGAGCGAACGGG